GAUGAACGCUGGCGGCGUGCCUAAUACAUGCAAGUCGAGCGAACAGACGAGGAGCUUGCUCCUCUGACGUUAGCGGCGGACGGGUGAGUAACACGUGGAUAACCUACCUAUAAGACUGGGAUAACUUCGGGAAACCGGAGCUAAUACCGGAUAAUAUAUUGAACCGCAUGGUUCAAUAGUGAAAGACGGUUUUGCUGUCACUUAUAGAUGGAUCCGCGCCGCAUUAGCUAGUUGGUAAGGUAACGGCUUACCAAGGCAACGAUGCGUAGCCGACCUGAGAGGGUGAUCGGCCACACUGGAACUGAGAAACGGUCCAGUCUCCUACGGGAGGCAGCAGUAGGGAAUCUUCCGCAAUGGGCGAAAGCUUGACGGAGCAACGCCGCGUGAGUGAUGAAGGUCUUCGGAUCGUAAAACUCUGUUAUUAGGGAAGAACAAAUGUGUAAGUAACUAUGCACGUCUUGACGGUACCUAAUCAGAAAGCCACGGCUAACUACGUG
rnacentral:rRNA from 1 species